UACGGAGGGGACUAGCGUUGUUCGGAAUUACUGGGCGUAAAGCGCACGUAGGCGGAUUUGUAAGUCAGGGGUGAAAUCCCGAGGCUCAACCUCGGAACUGCCUUUGAUACUGCAAAUCUCGAGUCCGGAAGAGGUGAGUGGGAUUCCUAGUGUAGAGGUGAAAUUCGUAGAUAUUAGGAAGAACACCAGUGGCGAAGGCGGCUCACUGGUCCGGUACUGACGCUGAGGUGCGAAAGCGUGGGGAGCAAACAGG
rnacentral:rRNA from 1 species